rnacentral:rRNA from 1 species
UGCGAAGGGGGCUAGCGUUGCUCGGAAUCACUGGGCGUAAAGCGCACGUAGGCGGCUUUCUAAGUCAGGGGUGAAAUCCUGGAGCUCAACUCCAGAACUGCCUUUGAUACUGGGAAGCUCGAGUCCGGAAGAGGUGAGUGGAACUGCGAGUGUAGAGGUGAAAUUCGUAGAUAUUCGCAAGAACACCAGUGGCGAAGGCGGCUCACUGGUCCGGUACUGACGCUGAGGCGCGAAAGCGUGGGGAGCAAACAGG